rnacentral:ncRNA from 1 species
ACUGCUUUCCCUAGCAGCUUUUUCUUCUGAAAAAGAUCUCCAAACCUUCAGCGCGGUCGUCUUGAUCGCGCUUUUUUUGC